GAUGAAACGCUUCACACAGGCUUCCCUAUAGAUCUCACUAAAACAAUAACUGUACAAAUUUACUCGCGACGGCUGGGAAUUAAACACUACUGCUUCACCGACUAAAGAAGUCCUCUAUCGCGAGUAUCAAAGAUUUAAGUUCACUUUUUGAUAUGGUGGAAUAGUAAGAAAAAUAGCAAUGACAUUCAAACAACCCAAUAUCACUACUAAAAUACUAUUGCAGACAUGAGGCAACGAUGCAAGUAGAGAUGUUCCUAAUGAACAUCUCUAAUAGGUAUGGAGUGUGGAAUAGUUCAUGUUUUAAUCUUUUUGAAAGAUGAUUAUUAAAAGAUAUUAAAGAUAAAAGAAACACAUUUUAGUGUUUUUUUAGUGCUGUCACAUGUGUAAUUAGCUUAUUAGGUAGAUCAGGUGUAUAACAUUGAAAUUAAGAGAUGAACGAGUGUGGGGAUGUUUUUUUUUUUUUUUUAUGUCCCCAUUAUUAUGUGUUUAUCAUGCAUAAAAAUAUAUGUUGUGGUAUACAGCCAAAUCAGUAAAUUCUAAGUAAUGUAUGUGUGAAUAGAACCAUCACAGUUAAAGCAGUAAUGAACACAACAGAUCUUGUUUCUUGUGAUUUGUCAAGAGUAAUAAAUGCUAUAAAUGCA